rnacentral:rRNA from 1 species
GACAGAGGCCCCGAGCGUUAGGCGGAAUCACUGGGCUUAAAGCGCGUGUAGGCGGUCCGGUAAGUCCGCUGUGAAAGUCGGGGGCUCAACCCUCGGAUGCCGGUGGAUACUGUCGGACUUGAGUACGGGAGAGGCGAGUGGAAUUCCUGGUGUAGCGGUGAAAUGCGCAGAUAUCAGGAGGAACACCAAAUUGCGAAGGCAGCUCGCUGGAACGUUACUGACGCUGAGACGCGAAAGCGUGGGGAGCAAACAGG